CGGCCGCGCGCCGCCGGAGUCGGUGAAAGGUGCGGGAAGUUGCUGGGAGCGCGGUGCAGGCCCUCGGCUCGGUCGGACGAUAACUACCCGCCGCCUCCUCCCUCAAUCUCUCCUCUCCUCGAUCUCUCGGCCCUUCUCUCUCGCUCUUUCUCUCCCCUCCCUCUGGGUUUCCGUCAUCGCCCCGGCAUUUCCGCCGCGAAAAGGCGAGCAGGCGGCACCGCCAGGGCACGGCCCGCAAGGAACAGAGCAGCGCCCUCGCGCGGAUCGGCGGAGAAACGGUCCGAGGGGGCCCAGGGUCGCACUUACUUGUUUCUCUUGCUAGAGCCUCUUUUCCCAUCAGGCUCCAGACCUAGCUCGGCUGGUUCUUCUCCCCAUCCAGUUCUCUGGGAACUAUGUCUUCAUUUUGGCCUCCUGGAGUGCUUUUUCAGCGUUCUGGAUCGGGAAUUGGAAAGUUUGGGAAUUCUCCCGUCAAGAUUUCACUUUCCUCAUCAGAAAGAGGAAAGAAAAAUUAUUUUGCGGUGCCAGGAAUUGAAACCAGGGCCUCAAGCAUGUUAGAGUGGAAAGUAGAAGUUUAUUAAAGGACAGCAGAAAAGAUUUCUCCCGGAGGAAGAAGGGGACCUAAGAGAUGGAAUCCGUGGAAGUGCCACUUCUUAAUUUUUAAAUGGGAAACAUUGUAAUGCUUGUUAACUUCAAACUUAGUCAACUUUCUGAGGUGUUACCAAAAAAGAAAUUAACCAUGUACAUAUAACAUAUUUGAAUGUAAGUGCUUAAAAUAGCUCUCUGAUUAUCAAACAAUAUAGUUUUAAUGAUCAGUAGCUUUUUAUGCAGCAUUUUCUUUUGGCAGUGCUGGGAUUGAACUGAGGGUCUGUGCAUGCAAAGCAAGCAUUCCAUUACUGAGCUACACCCCCAGUCCUAGAAGAAUAUUAUCUUCCAUAUUGAGUUUAUUUUUUGUUUCCUUCUCCACAAUUUUCUUAAAUAUAUUAUCAACUGGUAUGGGACUUGAAACAUACUAAGCAAAUAUAAACUACACAUGAAAGAUUAAAUGUGGAGAAAAUUCUUUACAUUCAACAUUAACUGCAAUACCAAGAUGCCAAUCUGGCUUUUGAUACUUAAGACACUUUUAAAAUAAAUGUCCAUAUGGAUUCUAGUAUUCUACUAUUUUUAUUUGGAACAUAUGAUCUUCCUUAAGUAACAUUGGUAAAAUGUUGUUUUGAGUUUGGGGGACAUAUUUUUUACCAAUAUUAAACAAUUUAGAAAGUGUAUGGAGGGACAGAUCUGAACCUUAGGAAUUGAAACUCAAGAAUCAUCAGGGAAAUGCAAAUCAAAAACCUUACAUCCAUUACAGUGGCUGUUAUCAAGGAAAAAUAUUUUGGAAUGGAGAAAUUGGAACUUUCACACACUGUUGACAGGAAUGCAAAAUAAUGCAGCCUCUAUGGAGAUCAGAAGUUGUUUAAUGGGUACAGAGGUUCAGUUUUUCAGGAUGCAAAAGUUUUGGAAAUUGGUUGUAUAACAAUGUGAAUGUACUCAUACACUACUGACCCAUAAACUUAAAAUGGGUAAGAUAGUAAAUUUUUAAAUGUGUAUCGUAAAAUACACUCCCCUCUCCUGCUACACACACACACACACAAAUCAAGUGUUGUGGGGGGGGGGUGGCCCAGUGGUAGAACAUGUGCUUAUGUGUUCACUGGGUUCAAUCUCCAGCACUGAAGUCAGGAAGUAGUCUGCCAGGAAGACUUUAACCAGGGAUGUGUCCUGUGGGAUGUGCCUGUACUUCCUUUGCACUCCUGUAGUAAAAUGCAGUUCAGCCAAGGAUGGUACAAUGAUAUGCUAGGUUGCAAUCUUGUCAGGAAUAUGCAGUUUACAUUGUUUAAUUAUUACAUUUCAUAGGAGAUGGGAAAUGAUAUGUCCCUCUCACUUCCCCAUGUUAAAUGUACCAACUACAUAAAUCAAUGGAAUAAUU